UACGGGGGGGGCAAGCGUUGUUCGGAAUUACUGGGCGUAAAGGGCUCGUAGGUGGCCAACUAAGUCAGACGUGAAAUCCCUCGGCUUAACCGGGGAACUGCGUCUGAUACUGGAUGGCUUGAGUUCGGGAGAGGGAUGCGGAAUUCCAGGUGUAGCGGUGAAAUGUGUAGAGAUCGGGAGGAACACCGGUGGCGAAGGCGGGUCUCUGGGCAAUUCCUGACGCUGAGGCGCGAAAGCGUGGGGAGCAAACGGG
rnacentral:rRNA from 1 species